UGUUGAACCGCAUGGUUCUACAGUGAAAGACGGUCUUGCUGUCACUUAUAGAUGGACCCGCGCCGUAUUAGCUAGUUGGUGGGGUAACGGCCUACCAAGGCGACGAUACGUAGCCGACCUGAGAGGGUGAUCGGCCACACUGGAACUGAGACACGGUCCAGACUCCUACGGGAGGCAGCAGUAGGGAAUCUUCCGCAAUGGGCGAAAGCCUGACGGAGCAACGCCGCGUGAGUGAUGAAGGUCUUCGGAUCGUAAAGCUCUGUUGUUAGGGAAGAACAAAUGUGUAAGUAACUGUGCACAUCUUGACGGUACCUAACCAGAAAGCCACGGCUAACUACGUGCCAGCAGCCGCGGUAAUACGUAGGUGGCAAGCGUUAUCCGGAAUUAUUGGGCGUAAAGCGCGCGUAGGCGGUUUUUUAAGUCUGAUGUGAAAGCCCACGGCUCAACCGUGGAGGGUCAUUGGAAACUGGAAAACUUGAGUGCAGAAGAGGAAAGUGGAAUUCCAUGUGUAGCGGUGAAAUGCGCAGAGAUAUGGAGGAACACCAGUGGCGAAAGCGGCUUUCUGGUCUGCAACUGACACUCAUGUGCGAGAGCGUGGGGAUCAAACAGGAUUAGAUACUCUGGUAGUCCACGCCGUAAACGAUGAGUGCUAAGUGUUAUGGGGUGUCUCCCCCUUAUUGCUGCAGCUAACACAGUAAAC
rnacentral:rRNA from 1 species